rnacentral:lncRNA from 1 species
GAAAUAGCAAUGUAGUCGGUAGCGCAGCCUUCUUCCACUGCACAGCUCGCCAUGGUCUCGCAUGUGCAGUGAUAAAACCUUUUUGGGUUAACAGGUAAUCAAAAUUAAGAGAAACCCUUGUGCCCAGAUGAUCUAUAUCGAAAGACCGAUCGUUCGCCAUUGUUUCUGAAGCGAAAAGCAAAAGUCUUUGGACGCUUGGAUUUGC